AGUUCAGAUUGCAGGCUGCAACCCGCCUGCAUGAAGUCGGAAUUGCUAGUAAUCGCGGAUCAGCAUGCCGCGGUGAAUACGUUCCCGGGCCUUGUACACACCGCCCGUCACACCAUGGGAGCCGGGAACACCCGAAGUCCGUAGUCUAACCAUUAAGGAGGACGCGGCCGAAGGUGGGUUUGGUAAUUGGGGUGAAGUCGUAACAAGGUAAC
rnacentral:rRNA from 1 species